GUGGCCAGGGAGCCGCAGGCAAGGGACUAAGGGGAGGGGGGCUCAGUGCCAGCUGCUUAAAAAUGCCCCUGUGGCAGCGAGGGGCACCAGAGGCUGGGUCUAAUUAGUUGAGAAGCAGUGACACCCCCAACCACUCCCCAAACAGGCUGGCUCCCGUCUCCAGGCCCCAAGGAGCCACACCUGGACCAGACCCCAGGAAAGACAUGUGGUGGAAACCCUACGGCCCUGGAGCCCAAGGAGAGCAACGGCUGUAACAAGUGCACAGGCAAGGGCACUAGCUGGUGGGAGCCACCCCGCCAUGCUGAUGUCAGAGAAGCAAGAACUCUGGAGAAGCAGCCUCCUGGGACCAGAGGAGGGCCAGCAGCAGGCAGCCCGGAGACAGAACUGUGAGCCCACCCCACCUCCACCCUU
rnacentral:lncRNA from 1 species